AAAAUGCUUCCUGUGAAGAGUAAAAGCACUUGAUUCUGGGAAAACUGUUAAAACACCUCUAACUUCAAAGCUGGAGAAAAGUAUGAGUGAAAAAUCCAUCUGACCCCCUCAGCAUCUCACACAGAACACAAAAUGGCUCUUCAGAAAAAAACACUUGCUGGUGUCUUGGAGGAGUGGUGUUUGGAGGAACCACUGUUCGGUUGCAGGCAGCACCAAAAUGUUAGGAAAAAACUGAGACUGAUACGAAUUAUAGGGCUUCUUGUCAGUGUAGCAGCCAUUAGUACUUUCUCUCUUUCAAUUAGUGCCUUUUUCAAGAUGGAACCACAUAGCAUGGCAUUGGCCAGCAGCCUAGAUAGCCAAAAGCCGGUGAGUGGGCACCAAAGAACUCUGUUGGAUUUCACAGAAGAGAAUGAAAAUGGCACUCCAGACCCACACACUUCUAUGAAAUACGAAGCUGAACACAACAAUGCAACGGAUGAUCAUCCCAAGGGAGAGUACCCAGAGGACCUUUUCUCUCUUGAGGAGAGGAGAAAGGGAGCAGUGAUCCUCCAUGUAAUUGGAAUGAUUUACAUGUUCAUAGCCUUAGCCAUAGUCUGUGAUGAGUUUUUUGUUCCUUCCUUGACUGUCAUCACUGAAAAAUUGACGAUAUCUGAUGAUGUGGCAGGGGCAACCUUCAUGGCUGCUGGUGGGUCAGCCCCAGAACUCUUCACUUCUUUAAUAGGAGUGUUUAUAUCCCACAGCAAUGUCGGCAUUGGUACAAUAGUGGGAUCUGCUGUGUUCAAUAUCCUAUUCGUUAUCGGAAUGUGUGCUUUAUUUUCUAGAGAGAUCUUGAACCUUACUUGGUGGCCACUCUUUCGAGAUGUCUCCUUUUACAUCGUUGACUUGAUCUUGCUAAUCAUCUUUUUUCUGGAUAACUUGAUCAUGUGGUGGGAAAGCUUAACACUACUGAUAGCAUAUUUUUGCUAUGUGACUUUCAUGAAGUUCAAUGUUCAAGUAGAAGAAUGGGUGAAGAAAUUUUUAAACAGGAACAAGGUUGAGAAGGUAACAGCAGGAGACGCUGAAGGAAAG